GCGAGCGAACUAGUGUGCUGAAGCUGACCAGGCUAAGGACUAGUGAGAUGAAUACCUAAUAGGCAGAUUUUUCCCCCCCCUAUUUUCUUUCCCCACAAACUAAGUCACAGGAAGGAAGACUCCCUCCCCCUUCUCUUCCUCAGCCUGAAGACUGAUGGGCAGAGAGGAGAAAUUCAGCCACACGACCCUGCCAGCACCCGCUGAUAAUGUUUGCCAUGAGGUUAAUUAUUGCUGAUAUCCGGAAGAAUCACUGACACAACCCACUGCACUGCAGUAUUGCAAAUGAAUUAAGCCAUCAGUGAUGCAAAGUGGAAAGUACAAAGCUCCUCUCAGCAGCCGUUAGAAGGAAAAAGCACAUAAUGAAACUUAACCAAGUAUUCUCUGGCCUGCUUGGGUAUGUGCAGUUUUGUCCCUUGUUUCUCACGUUACUAUUCCAACUGGUUGACGUAGAAUUCGGGGGGAAGUUGGACCUUUUGAAUGCCUCCUUUGGAGUCUAAGCAACUGCUAAAAUUGCAUUUCCUAUACUCCUUCCUUCUUAUGAACCCCGCUUUCCAGGAAUUUCCACUUGAAUCAUCACAACUAGUUGUACUGUUCUCAAAAAGCCCUACUUCCCAAGAGGGCCUUCCAGAAUGCAAAAGCAGAACACUGAACAUUAUAUGCACCCAGAGACAAUAAAUCUCAAUUGCUUCAGACAUUG